rnacentral:rRNA from 1 species
UAAGGAAUAUUGGUCAAUGGGCGAGAGCCUGAACCAGCCAUGCCGCGUGCAGGAAGACGGCCUUAUGGGUUGUAAACUGCUUUUGUCGGGGAAUAAACCUAUCUACGUGUAGAUAGCUGAAGGUACCCGAAGAAUAAGCAUCGGCUAACUCCGUG